GACAGAGGAUGCAAGCGUUAUCCGGAAUGAUUGGGCGUAAAGCGUCUGUAGGUGGCUUUUAAGUCUGCCGUCAAAUCCCAGGGCUUAACCCUGGACAGGCGGUGGAAACUACCAAGCUGGAGUACGGUAGGGGCAGAGGGAAUUUCCGGUGGAGCGGUGAAAUGCGUAGAGAUCGGGUGGAACACCAGUGGCGAAGGCGGCAUCCUGGCCCUGACCUGACGCUGAGGCGCGGAGAGCGUGGGGAGCAAACGGGG
rnacentral:rRNA from 1 species